AUGUGCAAAGAUUGCCAUUUUCAAAAGAACUGAAUUAAAUUAUAGAAUUGUAGCUUAGAUAUCACAAAAUAUAAUUCUACUGGUAAAUAAAUAUUUCAAACUAGAUCUGAUACACUGAUGAUGAAUGUAAUCUGAACGUUACAUUGCAAGUUAUGGGUGGAGCUUUUGGGUGGAUCUCACAAAAAUUCACAUCUGUGUUCAGUUUUCAUUUACACCCUGUGGUGCAGAGAUGAUGCUUCUGUGCUGUCUGCUUGUGUUUUCAAUGACAGAACACACACUUGCACAGUCAAUAAAUCCACUGCAGAAUGACCUUCAUAUCACUGAAAAGCAGCCUGUCAUGCUGUCCUGCAAAUAUGAGGGAAGUGCAUACAGUCUACAUUGGUAUCGACAGCAUCCUGGAUCCAAACCUGAAUUUGUGCUCCUUGUCGUGGAAGCAUCCACAAAACAAGUAAUAUAUGCAGAUCCCCGUAUCCCUGGAAUGGAUGGAAAAAUAAGUAUGAAUGAUAGGAAAGUGGAUCUGAUCAUCUCGUCCGCUGAAGUGACAGACUCUGCUCUGUAUUACUGCGCCCUGCAGCCCACAGUGACAGGAAACACAUCAACACUGUACAAAAACCGCUAUGAAGUGGAAAAACUGGAUCUCUAUCAUUUUGUCAUCACAUCAUGUUUACUGCUUGCAGAUUAUUCAAAGACAUUUCACACAAAAUUAUUUUUUUAAAAUAGAUAAAUAUGAGGAAUGUAAAAAUGACAAAUAUGAUCAAAUUAAAUUUUAAAUCAAAUAGGCAUGAGUUUCUGGGCAAGAUUUUAGGUUAGAAAUUCCUAUGAACGUUUAAGAGAAAGAUUUAAUUCAUUUUGACAGAUCACCAUUUUCUUUUGUCAAUUUAAAACUAGCAAGGUCAACAAGGGUGAUUAUGUUAAACAGCCCUGUGGUGUAACAAAUUAAAUUUAAAAAGUACAAAUAUUCAAAGUGUCCCAAUUAAAAUGGUCAUACACACGGCAGAGUUUUCAACAGAGUGAAGCAUGUCUCUUUACCAGAUUUGUCAUUUCCCAAAUAUUCCAUGUCAACUUUGUGUAUUUCACAUCAGUUAUUUUCAAGUUAUUCAUAUUAAAAACAAAUAUCCUUUAAAUUUCUAAAGCUUCAUUUGAAAUAACAGAGGGCAAAAUUGCAAAGAAAAAGCAUAAUAUGAAUAAUAACUUUGCACUUUCACAGCUGAUUGAUUUUAAUUCAUUAUUGCAGCCACAGGCUGGCGUUAUCUCCAGUCUUAUUUAUCAUAAAACAUAGUAUCCUUAACUGCUAUGAUGCUUAGGUGUCAUCCUGUAUAAACUCCAAUGAUUGCAUACAAUCAACAGAACCUAAACUCAAAUACUUG